CGCUGGUGUUCGGGUUGUGAUGCCAAUUGCAUUGCCCGGUAGCUACGUUCGGAAUCGAUAACCGCUGAAAGCAUCUAAGCGGGAAGCGAGCCUCGAGAUGAGUUCUCACUUGGAGUUCGACUCCACUAAAGGGCCGUUGAAGACUACAACGUUGAUAGGCAGGAUGUGGAAGCGCUGUGAGGCGUUAAGCUAACCUGUACUAAUUACCCGUGAGGCUUAACCAU
rnacentral:rRNA from 1 species